AAGUCGUAACAAGGUCUCCGUUGGUGAACCAGCGGAGGGAUCAUUACCGAGUUUCCCGACUCCCAGACCCCCGUGCGAACCUACCAGCCGUUGCCUCGGCGGACCCGACCCCGGUCGGCCGCCGGGGACCCGAAGCCCGCAUCUUGCAAGCAACCGUCUGAGCCCGCCGCGAGGCAGCGCGAACGAGUCAAAACUUUCAACAACGGAUCUCUUGGUUCUG
rnacentral:misc_RNA from 1 species